rnacentral:rRNA from 1 species
UGGGGAAUAUUGGACAAUGGGGGGAACCCUGAUCCAGCCAUGCCGCGUGUGUGAAGAAGGCCUUAUGGUUGUAAAGCACUUUAAGCGAGGAGGAGGGUACUGGUAUUGAUACUACCAGGUACUGGACGUUACUCGCAGAAUAAGCACCGGCUAACUCUGUGCCAGCAGCCGCGGUAAUACAGAGGGUGCGAGCGUUAAUCGGAUUUACUGGGCGUAAAGCGUGCGUAGGCGGCUAAUUGAGUCGGAUGUGAAAUCCCCGAGCUUAACUUGGGAAUUGCAUUCGAUACUGGUUAGCUAGAGUGUGGGAGAGGAUGGUAGAAUUCCAGGUGUAGCGGUGAAAUGCGUAGAGAUCUGGAGGAAUACCGAUGGCGAAGGCAGCCAUCUGGCCUAACACUGACGCUGAGGUACGAAAGCAUGGGGAGCAAACAGG